UACGUAGGUGGCAAGCGUUGUCCGGAUUUACUGGGCGUAAAGAGCGCGCAGGCGGUCGUUCAAGUCGCGUGUGAAAGCCCCCGGCUCAACCGGGGAAUGGCGCCCUAAACUGGCGAGCUGGAGUGAGAUAGGGGUGUGUGGAACUUCCGGUGGAGCGGUGAAAUGUGUUGAUAUCGGAAGGAACGCCGGUGGCGAAAGCGACACACUGGAUCUUGUCUGACGCUGAGGCACGAAAGCCAGGGGAGCGAACGGG
rnacentral:rRNA from 1 species